rnacentral:rRNA from 1 species
UGGGGAAUUUUGGACAAUGGGCGCAAGCCUGAUCCAGCCAUGCCGCGUGCGGGAAGAAGGCCUUCGGGUUGUAAACCGCUUUUGUCAGGGAAGAAAUCUUCUGAGUUAAUACCUCGGGAGGAUGACGGUACCUGAAGAAUAAGCACCGGCUAGCUACGUGCCAGCACGCGCGAUACGUAGGGUGCAAGCGUUAAUCGGAAUUACUGGGUGUAAAGCGUGCGCAGGCGGUUUUGUAAGACAGAGGUGAAAUCCCCGGGCUCAACCUGGGAACUGCCUUUGUGACUGCAAGGCUUGAGUGCGGCAGAGGGGGAUGGAAUUCCGCGUGUAGGCAGUGAAAUGCGUAGAUAUGCGGAGGAACACCGAUGGCGAAGGCAAUCCCCUGGGCCUGCACUGACGCUCAUGCACGAAAGCGUGGGGAGCAAACAGGAUUAGAUACCCUGGUAGUCCACGCCCUAAACGAUGUCAACUGGUUGUUGGGAAGGUUCCUUCUCAGUAACGUAGCUAACGCGUGAAGUUGACCGCCUGGGGAGUACGGCCGCAAGGUU